UACAGAAAAAGGCAAACUUAUUGAAAGAUAAGGACGCAAAGUCACGGGUCUACGGUAGGGUAUCCUGCUAGGGCGGCUGGACUGCCUGA
rnacentral:ncRNA from 1 species